AGAAAAAACAAGUAGUAUUUGAGAACAAGAUAUGUAUGUUGGUGUGUGGCUUAUGAGCAUAUGGAAGCCUUUGUAUUUAUAGGCACUGUCUUGGUUUGAAGGAUUGGAAUUCAAAGAAGCUGCACAGAUAAAUUCAACAAUGGUGUGCUUUGCAUCGAGUGCUGUGAAUUUAAUAUAACGCACCGCCAACCAUGAGAAACAUACGAAUGCGUUUAAUUUGAUGUGGACUAAAAUUAUAGACG
rnacentral:lncRNA from 1 species